rnacentral:rRNA from 1 species
UACGUACUGUGCGAACGUUAUUCGGAAUCACUGGGCUUAAAGGGUGCGUAGGCGGCUUGUUAAGUCAGGGGUGAAAGUUUUCGGCCCAACCGGAAAAUUGCCUUUGAUACUGGCGAGCUCGAGUGCGUGAGGGGUAACCGGAACGAGCAGUGUAGCGGUGAAAUGCGUAGAUAUUGCUCGGAAGGCCAACGGCGAAGGCAGGUUACUGGUACGCAACUGACGCUGAGGCACGAAAGCGUGGGGAGCAAACAGG